rnacentral:rRNA from 1 species
AGAGUUUGAUCCUGGCUCAGGAUGAACGCUAGCGGCAGGCCUAAUACAUGCAAGUCGUACGGGAUUGAGGACUUCGGUUCUCAUGAGAGUGGCGCACGGGUGCGUAACACGUAUGCAACCUACCUUUAACUGGGGGAUAGCCUUUCGAAAGAGAGAUUAAUACCGCAUAAAACAGCAGCACUGCAUGGUGUAACUGUUAAAGCUUCGGUGGUUAAAGAUGGGCAUGCGUUGCAUUAGCUAGUUGGUAAGGUAACGGCUUACCAAGGCUACGAUGCAUAGGGGAUCUGAGAGGAUGAUCCCCCACACUGGUACUGAGACACGGACCAGACUCCUACGGGAGGCAGCAGUAAGGAAUAUUGGUCAAUGGGCGCAAGCCUGAACCAGCCAUGCCGCGUGCAGGAAGACGGCCCCAUGGGUUGUAAACUGCUUUUAUCGGGGAAUAAACCUCAUUACGUGUAAUGAGUUGAAGGUACCCGAAGAAUAAGGAUCGGCUAACUCCGUGCCAGCAGCCGCGGUAAUACGGAGGAUCCAAGCGUUAUCCGGAUUUAUUGGGUUUAAAGGGUGCGUAGGCGGUUUAUUAAGUCAGUGGUGAAAGCCCGGAGCUCAACUUCGGAACUGCCAUUGAUACUGAUAGACUUGAGUACAGAUGAAGUGGGCGGAAUGUGACAAGUAGCGGUGAAAUGCUUAGAUAUGUCACAGAACACCGAUUGCGAAGGCAGCUCACUAAAGUGUAACUGACGCUGAGGCACGAAAGCGUGGGGAUCAAACAGGAUUAGAUACCCUGGUAGUCCACGCCCUAAACGAUGAUUACUCGCUGUUAGCGAUAUACAGUUAGCGGCUAAGCGAAAGCGUUAAGUAAUCCACCUGGGGAGUACGGUCGCAAGAUUGAAACUCAAAGGAAUUGACGG